UACGGAGGAUCCGAGCGUUAUCCGGAUUUAUUGGGUUUAAAGGGUGCGCAGGCGGCUUGGUAAGUUAUAGGUGAAAUUUCGGUGCUCAAUAUCGAAACUACCUGUGAUACUGCCGAGCUAGAGACCAGUUGCAGAAGGCGGAAUGUGUAGUGUAGCGGUGAAAUGCUUAGAUAUUACACAGAACGCCGAUUGCGAAGGCAGCUUUCUAAGCUGGAUCUGACGCUGAGGCACGAAAGCGUGGGGAGCGAAC
rnacentral:rRNA from 1 species